rnacentral:rRNA from 1 species
GAUUCUGGCUCAGGAUGAACGCUGGCGGCGUGCCUAACACAUGCAAGUCGAACGAAGCAUAGGAAAUGGAGAUUCGUCGAAAGGAACUAUGACUUAGUGGCGGACGGGUGAGUAAUGUAUGAGCAACCUGCCUUUCGAGAGGGGGACAACAGUUGGAAACGACUGCUAAUACCGCAUAAUGUAUUUUGGGGGCAUCCCCGGGAUACCAAAGGAGCAAUCCGCUGAAAGAUGGGCUCAUAUCUGAUUAGUUAGUUGGUGGGGUAACGGCCUACCAAGACUGCGAUCAGUAGCCGGACUGAGAGGUUGAACGGCCACAUUGGGACUGAGAUACGGCCCAGACUCCUACGGGAGGCAGCAGUGGGGAAUAUUGGGCAAUGGGACGAAAGCCUGAACCCCAGCAACGCCGCGUGAAGGAUGAAGGUCUUCGGAUUGUAAACUUCUUUUAUGAGGGACGAAGGACGUGACGGUACCUCAUGAAUAAGCCACGGCUAACUACGUGCCAGCCGCGGC